rnacentral:rRNA from 1 species
UGGGGAAUAUUGCACAAUGGGGGAAACCCUGAUGCAGCGACGCCGCGUGGAGGAAGAAGGUUUUCGGAUUGUAAACUCCUGUCUUCGGGGACGAUAAUGACGGUACCCGAGGAGGAAGCCACGGCUAACUACGUGCCAGCAGCCGCGGUAAAACGUAGGUGGCAAGCGUUGUCCGGAAUUACUGGGUGUAAAGGGAGCGCAGGCGGGUCGGCAAGUUGGAGGUGAAAGCUGUGGGCUCAACUCACAAACUGCCUUCAAAACUGCCGGUCUUGAGUGGUGUAGAGGUAGGCGGAAUUCCCGGUGUAGCGGUGGAAUGCGUAGAUAUCGGGAGGAACACCAGUGGCGAAGGCGGCCUACUGGGCACUAACUGACGCUGAGGCUCGAAAGCAUGGGUAGCAAACAGGA